UUCUCUCUCGCCUAAUAAUCAUAAUAAUAACAGGAACUUCUCUUCGUCUUCUCACCCUGUCUCUCCCUUUUCACCUACCGGUUUUGAUGAAGAAGAAGAAGAAUUGGGGGGGAAAAUUAAAACUGAAGAAGAGAAGA
rnacentral:ribozyme from 1 species